rnacentral:rRNA from 1 species
UACGAAGGGGACUAGCGUUGUUCGGAAUCACUGGGCGUAAAGCGCACGUAGGCGGAUAUGUCAGUCAGGGGUGAAAUCCCGGGGCUUAACCUCGGUAACUGCCUUUGAUACAGCAUAUCUUGAGUCCGAUAGAGGUGGGUGGAAUUCCUAGUGUAGAGGUGAAAUUCGUAGAUAUUAGGAAGAACACCGGUGGCGAAGGCGGCUCACUGGCCCGGUACUGACGCUGAGGCACGAAAGCGUGGGGAGCAAACAGGG